GGCAGUUCUCGGGUGAGGCACCCGGAAUCAGGCUCCCUCCUCUCUGGUUCUGGGCGUGUCACCUGAGAACCGCA
rfam:Myotis davidii contig89860, whole genome shotgun sequence.